rnacentral:rRNA from 1 species
AGAGUUUGAUCCUGGCUCAGGAUGAACGCUAGCGACAGGCCUAACACAUGCAAGUCGAGGGGCAGCGAAGAGGUAGCAAUACCUUUGUCGGCGACCGGCGCACGGGUGAGUAACACGUAUGCAAUCCACCUGUAACAGGGGGAUAACCCGGAGAAAUCCGGACUAAUACCCCAUAAUAUGGGCUCUCCGCAUGGAGAGCCCAUUAAAGAGAGCAAUUUUGGUUACAGACGAGCAUGCGCUCCAUUAGCCAGUUGGCGGGGUAACGGCCCACCAAAGCGACGAUGGAUAGGGGUUCUGAGAGGAAGGUCCCCCACAUUGGAACUGAGACACGGUCCAAACUCCUACGGGAGGCAGCAGUGAGGAAUAUUGGUCAAUGGGCGAGAGCCUGAACCAGCCAAGUAGCGUGAAGGAUGACUGCCCUAUGGGUUGUAAACUUCUUUUAUAAAGGAAUAAAGUCGGGUAUGGAUACCCGUUUGCAUGUACUUUAUGAAUAAGGAUCGGCUAACUCCGUGCCAGCAGCCGCGGUAAUACGGAGGAUCCGAGCGUUAUCCGGAUUUAUUGGGUUUAAAGGGAGCGUAGAUGGGUUGUUAAGUCAGUUGUGAAAGUUUGCGGCUCAACCGUAAAAUUGCAAUUGAUACUGGCAGUCUUGAGUACAGUUGAGGUAGGCGGAAUUCGUGGUGUAGCGGUGAAAUGCUUAGAUAUCACGAAGAACUCCGAUUGCGAAGGCAGCUUACUAACCUGUAACUGACAUUGAUGCUCGAAAGUGUGGGUAUCAAACAGGAUUAGAUACCCUGGUAGUCCACACGGUAAACGAUGAAUACUCGCUGUUUGCGAUAUACUGCAAGCGGCCAAGCGAAAGCGUUAAGUAUUCCACCUGGGGAGUACGCCGGCAACGGUGAAACUCAAAGGAAUUGACGGGGGCCCGCACAAGCGGAGGAACAUGUGGUUUAA